rnacentral:rRNA from 1 species
AAACGUCCGUAGCCUGUUUGGUACAUUCGUGGGUAAAUCAACCAGCUCAACUGGUUGAAUUCUGCGAGCACGGCCAGACUUGGGACCGGGAGAGGUGUGGGGUACGCUCAGGGUAGGGGUAAAAUCCUGUCAUCCUGAGCGGACCACCUGUUGCGAAGGCGCCACACUAGAACGGAUCCGACGGUCAGGGACGAAGCCUAGGGGCACGAACCGGAUUAGAUACCCGGGUAGUCCUAGGUGUAAACGCUGUGGACUUGGUGUUGGGGAUGAUCCGAUCAUUCUCAGUGCCGAAGCGAAGGUGAUAAGUCCACUGCCUGGGGAGUACGGUCGCAAGGCUGAAACUUAAAGGAAUUGGCGGGGGAGCACCGCAACCUGAGGAUUGUGCGGUUUAAUUGGAUUCAACGCCGGAAAACUCACCAGUGCCGACGGACAGAUGAAAGCCAGUGUGAUGAGCUUGCUGGAUUGUUCGAGAGGUAGUGCAUGGCCGCCGUCAGUUCGUACCGUAAGGCGUUCUGUUAAGUCAGAUAACGAACGAGACCCUCAUCCCUAUUUGCUAAGGUUUCUCCCUUCGGGGCGAGAUCACAGGACUAUAGGGAGACCGCUGGCGAGAAGUCAGAGGAAGGUGAGGGCAACGGUAGGUCAGUAUGCUCCGAAUGCACUGGGCUACACGCGCAAUACAAAGGACGGGACAAUGGGCCGCUGCUCCGAGAGGAAAGAUGGCUAUCCCGAAACCCGUUCGUAGUUCGGAUUGAGGGCUGUAACUCGCCCUCAUGAAGCUGGAUUAGGUAGUAAUCGCGUCUCAAAAAGGCGCGGUGAAUAUGCCCCUGCUCCUUGCACACACCGCCCGUCAAACCAU